rnacentral:rRNA from 1 species
GAUGAACGCUGGCGGCGUGCUUAACACAUGCAAGUCGAACGAUGAAGCCCAGCUUGCUGGGUGGAUUAGUGGCGAACGGGUGAGUAACACGUGAGUAACCUGCCCUUAACUCUGGGAUAAGCCUGGGAAACUGGGUCUAAUACCGGAUAGGAGCGUCCACCGCAUGGUGGGUGUUGGAAAGAUUUAUCGGUUUUGGAUGGACUCGCGGCCUAUCAGCUUGUUGGUGAGGUAAUGGCUCACCAAGGCGACGACGGGUAGCCGGCCUGAGAGGGUGACCGGCCACACUGGGACUGAGACACGGCCCAGACUCCUACGGGAGGCAGCAGUGGGGAAUAUUGCACAAUGGGCGAAAGCCUGAUGCAGCGACGCCGCGUGAGGGAUGACGGCCUUCGGGUUGUAAACCUCUUUCAGUAGGGAAGAAGCGAAAGUGACGGUACCCGCAGAAGAAGCACCGGCUAACUACGUG